GGGUUCAUGGCGCAGUGGCAGCACACUCGCUUCGCAUGCGAGAGGCCAGGAGUUCAAUCCUCCUUGGAUUCA